GAUAUAAAACAAACAACGUAAAAUGAAAUAUGGAUGGGUACGUGAAGGUGAGUG
rnacentral:guide_RNA from 1 species